AUACGGAGGGUGCGAGCGUUAAUCGGAAUUACUGGGCGUAAAGCGUACGUAGGCGGUUGGUUAAGUUAGAUGUGAAAGCCCCGGGCUUAACCUGGGAACUGCAUUUAAAACUGGCGAACUAGAGUUGAGUAGAGGGGAGUGGAAUUUCAGGUGUAGCGGUGAAAUGCGUAGAGAUCUGAAGGAACACCAGUGGCGAAGGCACUCCCUGGACUCGAACUGACGCUGAGGUACGAAAGCGUGGGUAGCAAACGGGAUUAGAAACCCCAGUAGUCC
rnacentral:rRNA from 1 species